rnacentral:rRNA from 1 species
GACGAACGCUGGCGGCGCGCUUAACACAUGCAAGUCGUACGGAAAGGCCUGCUUUCCCUUGUGGAUUGCGGGUACUCGAGUGGCGAACGGGUGAGUAACACGUGAGUGAUCUGCCCCCAACUUGGGUAUAAGCCUGGGAAACUGGGUCUAAUUCCCGAUAGGACUGCAGGGUGGUGCCUGUGGUGGAAAACGAUUUUCUAGUGGUUGGGGAUGAGCUCGCGGCCUAUCAGCUUGUUGGUGGGGUAAUGGCCUACCAAGGCGGCGACGGGUAGCCGGCCUGAGAGGGUGGACGGCCAAAUUGGGACUGAGUUACGGCCCAGACUCCUACGGGAGGCAGCAGGGGAGAAUAUUGCACAAGGGGCGGAAGCCUGAUGCAGCGACGCCGCGUGGGGGAUGACGGCCUUCGGGUUGUAAACUUCUUUCGACCGCGAGGAAGCCACCUGGUUUGAAGGGUGGUGACGGUAGUGGUAGAAGAAGCACCGGCUAACUACGUG